AUCUUACCGGGUCCGGACGUAUCGAGGAUUGACAGAUAGUUAUACAUGCCCUACAAGCAAGUAGGAGUCAGGUUUUAAACCUAAUGGCUCUUUCAUGAUUAUAUGAUAGGUGGUGCAUGGCCGUUCUUAGUUCGUGGAGUGAUCUGUCUGCUUAAUUGCGUUUCAAAUUUUUAACCGAGGACCGGGUUUUGGUUUGGCUAGUGGUCCUACGAUGACUGUGAACUGUCAUGUCUUCGGAUGUACGACUAUCGGUCUAGGAUCACAUGACUUGCCCCUGGGACUCUUUUGAACGCAACGGACGUGAUUGCAACCCCUUGUUGAGAUUAGAGAUAGUCUCGAUAUUCACUGGCCAAACUGGCUGCUUUAUGCAGUCUUGUUGAAUGGUGGAUAAACUCGGGGGACUGCUGACUAUAACCAUUUCUCCAAACAGAGGAAGGUUGCGGCAAUAACAGGUCUGUGAUGCCCUCAAAUGUCCCGGGCUAACUGCGCGCGUGCUACAAUGAGUGGCGCAAUGAGCUAAUGUUUUAAGGGAUAAGCGGGCGGCCAAGAAAACGGCGGCAAUUGCCCUGGCGUCUUUCUACCGCACGAUUAUCAACGAUCCCUUUAUCAAGGCGGGGCAACCUUUUUC
rnacentral:rRNA from 1 species